rnacentral:tRNA from 1 species
GGCGAGAUAGCUCAGUUGGUAAGAGCGCAGGAUUCAUAACCCUGAGGUCGCGGGUUCGACUCCCGCUCUCGCCA